CAUACGACCGUACCGCAAACCGACACUGGUGCGCGAGAUGAGUAUUCUAAGGCGCUUGAGAGAGCUCAGGAGAAGGAACUCGGCAAAUUGACACCGUAACUUCGGAAGAAGGUGUGCCCUAUUAGUGUGUAGUGAACAACGAAGCAUGAAUGGGUUGCAAAAAAUCGGUGGCUGCGACAGUUUAUUAAAAACACAGCACUCUGCAAACACGAAAGUGGACGUAUAGGGUGUGACGCCUGCCCGGUGCUGGAAGAUUAAAUGAUGGGGUGCAAGCUCUUGAUUGAAGUCCCAGUAAACGGCGGCCGUAACAAUAACGGUCCUAAGGUAGCGAAAUUCCUUGUCGGGUAAGUUCCGACCUGCACGAAUGGCGUAACGAUGGCCACACUGUCUCCUCCUGAGACUCAGCGAAGUUGAAAUGUUUGUGAUGAUGCAAUCUCCCCGCGGAAAGACGGAAAGACCCCAUGAACCUUUACUGUAGCUUUGUAUUGGACUUUGAACAGAUCUGUGUAGGAUAGGUGGGAGGCUUUGAAGCAGGGUCGCUAGAUCUUGUGGAGCCAACGUUGAGAUACCACCCUGGUGUGUUUGAGGUUCUAACCUAGGUCCAUUAUCUGGAUCGGGGACAGUGCAUGGUAGGCAGUUUGACUGGGGCGGUCUCCUCCCAAAGCGUAACGGAGGAGUUCGAAGGUACGCUAGCUACGGUCGGACAUCGUGACGAUAGUGCAAUGGCAUAAGCGUGCUUAACUGCGAGACUGACAAGUCGAGCAGAUGCGAAAGCAGGACAUAGUGAUCCGGUGGUUCUGUAUGGAAGGGCCAUCGCUCAACGGAUAAAAGGUACUCUGGGGAUAACAGGCUGAUACCGCCCAAGAGUUCAUAUCGACGGCGGUGUUUGGCACCUCGAUGUCGGCUCAUCUCAUCCUGGGGCUGUAGCCGGUCCCAAGGGUAUGGCUGUUCGCCAUUUAAAGAGGUACGUGAGCUGGGUUUAAAACGUCGUGAGACAGUUUGGUCCCUAUCUUCCGUGGGCGCUGCAGAUUUGAGGAAGCCUGCUCCUAGUACGAGAGGACCGGAGUGGACACACCUCUGGUGUAUCGGUUGUCACGCCAGUGGCAUUGCCGAGUAGCUAAGUGUGGAAGAGAUAACCGCUGAAAGCAUCUAAGCGGGAAACUCGUUUCAAGAUGAGAUCUGCCGGGGCCUUGAGCCCCCUAAAGAGUCGUUCAAGACCAGGACGUUGAUAGGUCAGGUGUGGAAGC
rnacentral:rRNA from 1 species